GGCUUGUUGGUCUAGGGGUAUGAUUUUCGCUUAUGAUGCGAGAGGUCCUGGGUUCAAAUCCUGGACGAGCCC
rnacentral:tRNA from 1 species